rnacentral:rRNA from 1 species
GAUGAACGCUGGCGGCGUGCUUAACACAUGCAAGUCGAACGAAGCACUUUAUUUGAUUUCCUUCGGGCCUGAUUAUUUUGUGACUGAGUGGCGGACGGGUGAGUAACGCGUGGGUAACCUGCCUUUUACAGGGGGAUAACAGUUGGAAACGGCUGCUAAUACCGCAUAAGCGCACAGCAUCGCAUGAUGCAGUGUGAACAACUCCGGUGGUAUAGGAUGGACCUGCGUUGGUUUAGCUAGUGGGUGCGGUAACGGCCCACCAAGGCGACGAUCCAUAGCCGGGAGGGGAGGGGGGCCGGCGACAUUGGAGGUAAGACACAGCCGAAAAUCGUACGGAAGGGGGGAGAGGGGAAUAGUGCAAAAGGGGGGAAGGGAUGAAGGAGCGACGCGGGGUGAGCGAGGCUAUAAGGCGGUAAGUAAAGCUGUAUGAGCAGGGAAGAUAGUGACGGUACCUGAUAAAGAAGCACCGGCUAAAUACGUG